AAAAAAAUAGCAUUCAGGUCAAAUAUUUAAAUCAUGGAAGUACCGUAAAUAUACUUCCAUGAUUUAAAUUGUAAUAUCAUGAUAGAUCUACAGAAUCUUAUAAAAAUGGCCUAAACAAAUGAAAUAUUAUAUACUGAACACGAGCAUAACCCUAGUAAGCAUCACUUUUUGAGUAACAAGAUCUCAUAACAAAUUAUGAGAACUGCAAUGAUCCAAAAUAAAAGACACGAUUGUUUUCACAAUUAUCAUAUGAACAGAGCAUCAAGACAAUGCCACUAAAACGAUUUAAAACGGGUUGUGUAGAUACUAUACUCUUAUUUGGCGUUUUGACAUUAAUUGUUCAUGUUAGUAUUGAAAUAUGGCAGAGAUAUGCUAAUAACAAGUUGGGCAGAGCAAGGAGACACCAGUCAAAGGACCCAGCCACUACAAUGGCUUCGUCAGAAGCUGCCAUCAGGACAGCACGACUACAUGUGUUUGAGCAUACGGGACAAGGACUAAGACUAUAUAAACUUAAGGAAGUACCAUUAAUGUCGUACGUGUACACGGACUCCUUCGAUGCCAUACAGAAAGAUAGCAACCAAAAAGCAAUAGAGCAAUGAUGUAACUGUGUAUCCAAAAAUUAAAGUUCAUAUUUCCUACAUGAAAAACUUUGAUUUAUUAAUUUCUAUUCCAAUUUUAUUCUGCACAGUGUGUAAAAAAACGAAUAUUUAUCCAAAUAGCUUACUUAGUGCGAACCAAUCACAUUGCGCUGAGGUUGUCAUUGCUUCACACACAAUGGAGUAUUGUGAUUGGUUAGCCGCGUCUCACUGCGACUCGAAUGUGAGAUUUAAAUAGCAAAGUCGCACUACGCAUACAGGUAACCCAUGAAUUAAUUUGAAACACAAAACUUACAUACUAUUAAGUCCCUAUUUUGAUGUAGGUAUUACUUAUAAUCUUUGACUGGGCUUAAUUGUUUGACUGGGCAGUAUUUUCGCAAAUUCUUCGCAAACAGUCUGCAGUUUACGCCUAGGUUUGCCAACUUUUUUUAGAUCAAAUUUGCACCUUUGGAUUCGGUACC